UGUUUGCUUCUCUACCACUGUCAGAAACCUAAGUGAGACAAAGGAGACUUUUAGUUAGUACUCAAUAAAAUGACAUUUCAUCAUUUCCUCUGAAAUGAAAGACUAACCUGUAUGUUUCUACAAUGAAAAGACUGCACCAAGUGGAUCUCCAAGUGGGAAAAAUAAGGUUUGAUACAAACCUCAGACCUUAUUAUACAAGCAGAGAUUCCCAAAGGUUCAAAAAUUUAAUGGAAGACAAUGAAUCCAUGAAAGGAGAAAGAAAGCCCAAGGGACUUUUCAAGAAGCUCAGAACUGAAAGGCUUCUCUCUGAAUUACAACAAACACAGAAGGCUUAAAAUAAAAGAUUUAUAGAUCUGACUACACUUAAAACUUGUAUCUGAUGUGGAAUAUUUAUGUAAUGGAAAAUUAUGAAGCCAUAAAAAAUAAUGAAAUAAUGCUAUUUGCAGCAACAAAGACGGACCUAGACAUGAUCACACUAAGCGAAGUAAGUCAGACAAAGACAAGUCAUACUGUGUAUAUGUGGAAUCUAAAAGGAACUUAUUACUAAACAGAAAGAGACCCACAGACAUAGGAAACGAACUUACUCACCAUAAGGGAAAGGGGGUAGGGGAAGAGAUAAAUUAGGAGGUUGGGUUUAACACAUACCAUUUUAUAUAUAGACAAGUGCCUAUAAAAUAACCAGGAAGGAUCUACUGUACAACAUAAGGAGCUACAUUUAAUAUUCUACAAGCAGAAUCUGAAAAGGAAUGUGUGUGUGUGUGUGUGUGUGUGUGUGUGUGUGNNNNNNNNNNNNNNNNNNNNNNNNNNNNNNNNNNNNNNNNNNNNNNNNNNNNNNNNNNNNNNNNNNNNNNNNNNNNNNNNNNNNNNNNNNNNNNNNNNNCUGCAAGGAGAUCCAACCAGUCCAUACUAAAGGAAAUCAGUCCUGAAUAUAUAUUGGAAAGACUGAUGCUGAAGCUGAAACUCCAAUACUUUCGCCACCUGUUGCAAAGAACUGAUUGAUUUGAAAAGACCUUGAUGCUGGGAAAGAUUGAAGGCAGGAGGAGGAGACGACAGGGGGUGAGAUGAUUGGAUGGCAUCACUGACUCAAUGAACAUGAGUCUGAGUAAACUCCAAGAGUUGGUGAUGGACAGGGAGGCCUAGAGUGCUGCAGUCCGUGGGGUUGCAAACAGUCGGACACAACUGAGUGACUGAAAUGAACUGAACUGAUCUGAUUGAGCUGAAAAUGAGAAUUAUGAGCAAAUUGUUUCCAAAAAUGUUCUAAGUAAAUCAUAAAGAGCAGACAGAGAGUAAAUCAAUAAGAGUUUGGGUAAAGCUCACCAUUUGAGUCCCAAAUUAUGAUUUAAUGACAGGUAGAUGCCUUUAAAUAGUUGAGAAGCCAUAAGAAUAAAUGAUUCAAGGCUGAAAUGUUUGAAAAUUAAUUUAAAUUGGCAUGAAGAAAAAGAAAAUUAUCCCAACAAAUAUGACAAAUACCUCCAAUAAACAUCACCCCUUGCUAGUUAAAAAAAAAAAAAAUCUGAUAACUAAGCUAUAUAGCUACCCCAAAGUAAGAGCCUUAGCUCUGUACAUAUUUAAACAGAUUAAAGUUUGUUAAAAAAUUUUUUCUGGAGAAUAUGCUACAGCUCUAACACUGUAAUAGUCAGUUACAAGAAUUAACCUAUUGAUAACUGCACUAAGCACUUCUACAAAUAUCAACUAACUCAUUAGCUAUAAUGAUUCUAGAAAGGAAGAAGCUAGAAAUAUAAGUAAGUUUCAGGUUUUUCACCAGGUCUUCUGACUCUACUAGUCCUCUUACAUCAAGCCUCAGUUACUUCUCUAGUACAAACAUAUAAAUACAAAAUAAACCUCUUAUUUCACUCAUGGUACAUACACUAAUGGUAAAUAAGGUAAAAUUUAGAGGGUUCUUCUCAGACAGUCAUGAGAUUAUUUGCUGCUUCCAUGACUUUUAAUACCUUUUGUAAUGUUUAAAAUAGUAAUAUAGGGCAAAAGACAAU
rnacentral:lncRNA from 1 species